AAAUAUGUGAUGAGCUGAGCUGCAAGAGGAUUUAGGCAUACAAAAACACAUUUCACAAGGCAGAGAGCUGCAAAGAUUAAUCAAUUAGUUGUCAACUACCAAAUCAAUCGCCAACUAUUUUGAUAAUGGAAUGGAAAUCGGUUCUUCUAAUGAAAAUAAAUUCUCUGAUUCUAGCUUGUUAAAUGUGAAUAUGUUCUAGUUUCUUCUCUCCUCUGUGACAGUAAACUGAAUAUCUUUGAGUUGACGUCAUCUUGGGCUUUUGGGACUUUUGGGAAACACCGAUCCACAUUUCUCACCGUGUUCUGACAUCUUAGAGACCAAACAACUAAUCGAAUAAUCGAGA